rnacentral:snRNA from 1 species
AUAUUUACCUGGAAGGGGUGAUUCCAUGAUCAUGAAGAUGGUUUCCCCAGAGCAAGCCUUAGCCAUUGCACUCCAUGUAAGUCGACCCCUUGGAUUUCCCCCCAAAUUAAAAAAAAAAUGUAAAAAGCUUUGCUGGCUUAGAUCUGCCAGGUAGCAUUCUACU